GACCAGGACAAGCAAGCCGCAAGACCAGGACAAACAAGCCGCAAGCCGCAAGAGAAGCAGGCUGCAAGCCGCAAGACAAGCAAGCCGCAAGACCAAGACAAGCAAGCCGCAAGAAAAAGACAAGAAAGCUAGUUCUCCUUUGGUGAUGUUUGGAAGUUUGCGUUUUUCUGGAGUGAAAGCGACCGUGUCAACGAAGCGUGGCAGAACGAGGCAGAACCACAGGGCUCCCGCGCCAUACACCAUUUUUCUAUACCUAUGGGGCUCUAAUGGGGCUCCGCUAUGAUGCUAGAUGGUACCUAGCAUGCGGAGAUCGGCGAGUACCGAGCGGGUUCAAUGGCCUUAGUGUGAACGUCUGCUCCAUCGCAACUAGUGCUCACACGAGGACCCAACACACGGAUUGGCCUAUUUAGCGGAUAAGGUAUUUUUUCUGUUUUUAUUGUUAGUAACGUUUCAUUGAUUUUGUUUUGUUUUGUAUUUUCAGGUUGUUGAUUUUCGCUUUAUCAUUCGUUAGUUCGUUAUUUUUUAUAAUAAUUACCUUUUGUAGAGAAUUCUGAUAUCUAUGCCUCGGAUGGGCUAGUAAAGGUUAUGCGCCGGAUGCGCAGUUUGCCUCAGAUGCGGACGUAAGGUUAUUCGCCGGAUGCGCGGUUUGCCCUGGAUGGGCUAAAGGUUAUGUGCUGGAUGCGCGAUUUUCCCCAGAUGCGGGGUUAGGUAUAUUCGCCGGAUGCGCAGUUUGCCCCAGAUGCAGGCCUAAUGAUAUGCGCCGGAUGCGCGUUUGCCCCAGAUGCGGGCCUAAUGAUAUGCGCCGGAUGCGCGGUUUGCCCCGGAUGGGCUUCCGCCGGAUUUUGUAUUUAUACUGUGUUUUUUUUUUUAAAUAAAUUAAAUAAAUUAUUCUAUCUAUUCUGGGUUCAUUUUUGUUUGCUUUUUCUAUUUUUCUUUUCACAUGUUUUUUCAGAUGCUAUGGUCCGACUUCAAGUCCGCCAUGCCCUGUCAUCUUCUCCACGCAGUAGAUAAAGUACAACAGACUGUUUUACGUUCAAAAUUUGAUGGAACUGUCAAGAGCUAUUAAGGAGGUUUCAAUCGUUGGAAGCGCUGGGCGACAAACAAUCAUUUAAGUCAUUUUCCUGCUAACCUAUUCUAUGUUGCAGUUUAUUUUCAGUGCUUAUUGGAAUCAGCACAAAGCCCUUCGCCCAUCUUGAACGCGGCAUAUUCAAUUGACUUGGUGCUCUCCCUAGGAGGGCUACCAAAGAUCUCGGAUCACGCUAUAGUUAAGGCGAUGCUUGAUGCUUCCAAAAGAAUACUGGGAAAGCCUAGAAACAAAAAAAGAACCAGAAAUUGCAGAGAUGCUGUUGGCUUUGGUCUCAAAGUUUGGGAAAAAUCCUGCUCUUAGUAACUGCAGAUCUCUAGCCUUGUGUUUAAUUGGUUAUGCGGGUUUACUGCGGUUCAGUGAAAUUUGUAGUAUUAGAUGUUGUGAUGUUAACUUGUUACCCUCGUAUGCGUCUAUCUUUAUAGAGUCAUCUAAGACUGAUCAACUACGCGAAGGAGCCUGGGUGACAAUUGCUCGUUCUGAAUUGGUGUAGCUCCCCUGGAGAAAUACAAAGCAUACGCUUACUUGGACGAUGAUCUGCCUUUAUUCCGUGUUUUAGCUGGACCAUCUUGCUCUACCAAGGUGUGCUCUCAAGGAGGCGUUCACUGGGAUAACAGAUGUAUCGAAGAUUAGUCGGCACAGCCUUAGAUCUUAGCUACAGCCGCAGCCAAUAACGGGAUUCCCGAUAGACUGUUUAAACGUCAUGUCCGAUGGUGGAGUGAGAAUGCUAAAGACGGCUAUGUUAAAGACAAUCUAGACUCACUUUUAUCUGUUUCCAGAAACUUACGAAUUUAAUUUGCCUUGCCCAGCUGGCAAAAGAGGUGCGGUCCUUAGGGCUGGGGUUUUCCCCGUGUUUUCAAUGUGUAUAAGUGCUGCGGAGCACAUAGGGGUUUUUCACCCUUUGGAAAUUCCGUACGCCCUCUUUUCAGAUAUUAUCUAGACAAGGUAUCAGUAUUUAAACACUCACUCACCAAGUAUGUUUGUAAAUACAACUAAUAAAUUCGUGCGUUUCUCAGCCGAGCACACGACGAACAAUA